CCCUCACUUUCUCUCUCCACCACUAUCAAGGUCACCGCUUCUGCGGCUUACGGAGGACAAGAGGCGGUAAAGCAGCCUCGGAUGUCAGUGAAAGGUGCUCCAGCCCGGCUCCCAUCUUCACCUGGCCUGACAGCUCCCCACGUUCUCAGACCCUUUUGGACAAUUUCGACACCGUGUCCAUCUGGUUCUGAUUAAGUCCCAACCGGCCUGCUUCGCAUCCAGAGUGAAGAGGCGAGACGGGCGAGAGAGAAGAAAGAGAGAAAGACGGCAAGAUGGGAACGAGGAAGAAACGGCAAGAGCCAAAACGACAACAAAGUGGGAUCGAAGAGAGAUCCGUAACUGAUGCCCGACCUGGGCGUCAUUACUGAAACACAGGAUUGUUACUUCAAUAGCCCAGCCAUGGCCAAAAGACAUUAUUUGGAGUGAGCAUCCAGCUUGUAGCUGGCGUUUAUUAGCCUCUCUUCUGGCACCUGCUCCCACACAACACAUGCCAGCGGUCUUCCUCGCCCUCAUUCUGCCUCUCGCCAUCAAACUAAUGACCGUGGUUAAAAGAAUAGUUCAUUCAAAAAUGAAAAUGUCACCAUUUAUUCAACCUCGUCUCAUUUCCACACAAUUCGUCUUAUUUCUUUGUCAACAGACAUUUAGGUCAUUUUUUUUUCCAAGUAUUAAUUUAUUUCCAAACAAUAAAUUAAAUAAAUAAAUAAAAGAGAAAAAAAUUUACUGUGUUACAUAAUAUUGCAGGUAACAAUUGCAGGUCACCACUUUUGCAGUGUGAACACUGAAUUUGGGUUUGAAGUGAACCUUGGCAGUGAUCAUUUAGUCAGUCUCCCCAAAUCCUAACCCAAAUACUGCCCUAAGUAAAACCCAUUGACAGCAUCUGGCCAAGUCUCACCAAAACAACCUUCACUUCCAUAUCACACUGAUUACAUUACCUUCUCACAGAAAACAUCAGUGGAGACAGCAUACCAGUGUUUAUUUUUAGGUAAAGGGGGGUAACGUGCAUGUGUGUGUGAUGGGACGGACGUGUCAUGGUGUGUGUGACCCUGUGGAGACCCUAUGCCUCAUCAGACGAUGAAACACACCUACACGGAUCGGCCUUUUCUCUUGAAGAGGCUUCUCUGUAAAAAACAAAAACAAAAAAACAACUAUUGUUAUUAAUAAAAAACAGAUGUGGACAUGGACAACCGCAGUCCAGCACUCAACAUGUGCCUCAGAUUCUCACAAUCAAGGAAUACAUAUACAGAUUAAUAAAACAGUAACACACUGAAUAGACUAUAUGAAAAAGAUCCUUCAGCACCUUUAUACCCAACUGAUAAAAUAACAAUUUUACGCAUAGCUGUAUAUUGAAAUUCAAGAAAUUAAUAACUCAUUAAAUUUCAGAAAAUUAAUACUAUCAUGAAAAUGCACCCCCCCCCAUAAUAAUAAUAAAAAAAAAGAAAAACACAAUGAUAAUUUUAUAAUUCACAUGUGCAGAUUAUAGAGAGUAUAUUAUAUGUGAGCGUUUAUUUGCUGUUUGGGACUCACUCUGGAAAUCUGUGGAAUAACAAUUUCAUUAAAAUCCAGACCGGAUGGAUAAAUCAUUAUUGUCUUUAAUGUCUGCUAACAUAUUCAAACAGGCUUCUCUGUCCUAAAGUCUCCCCAUCUGUGUGUGCGUGUCAUAUUCAAAUCACCAUAAUCUACUUUGCUGCGUAUGCUGCAUCUGGAAAUGAUAAUUAAUGGCAUUGUUUAAAACCAGAUUUUUGCAUCCUUGAUAAAUGAAUAGAUUGCUAAUGGUAUCAUUUGAA